CUGUAACGAACUAAGAAUUUAAUAAAGAAAAGAAAAAAAUAAAUUAGACUAUAUAUAAAGGAAAAUCUUUGAGAUCCUAAAACACUGUCAUUUCGUAAUUGGAGUGAAAUGGAUUGGUAAAUGCAGAAUGCAAAAAUGUAUUGGUAAGCACGGUAAAAAAGUAAUACUAAAUGUCAUUUAUAUGUGGUUAAUUUUUAGUCAUACUUUAUACGUGUUUUGAAGUAAUAAGGAGGACUAAAAUUGAGCAUGCAUCAUUGAAGGUGUCUAUUGGUAAGGAAGCUUAUUUGAUAUUAGUGGGUUCCGAUGUUGAAUUCCGGAACGAUAUUAUUAUUUGAUAUUUGGAAUGAUAUAAGUUGAUGAUGUGUUCCAAUGCUAAAUUUCCGGAACGAGAUUGUUCUUUAAUGUUUGAUAUAUUAUGAUGUGUGACUUAAGCUUCCUAAAUUUGUGUGAUUGGGCCCACAUUCAUUGCAUGCAUUAGUUUGAAGAAGGAAGAGAUGAAGUCCAGUAUUAGUAGCGCAUAGUGUGGUAUGAGACACAUUGUACACUACAAUUCUGGAGUAGGACGGAGGUAAAUUUCUUGCAUACACAUCAUGCAUCUCAUAGCAUAAUUACAUCAUAACUUGUAAAAUUUAAACUUACCUAAUAAUUUAAUUUAUUGCGUUAAGGUAAAAUAUUCUUUUCUAAAUUCUUAUUAAUCUCUUGUAUAUUUAUCUCACCCUUACACUGUUUUUUUAAGGAUGGACAUUCCGAUCAUCAGAGUGCACUUAGGCUUUGACUACAUAGAAG
rnacentral:lncRNA from 1 species